GCUGGCGGCGUGCCUAACACAUGCAAGUCGAACGAGAAGCCAACUUCUGAUUCCUUCGGGAUGAUGAGGUUAGCAGAAAGUGGCGAACGGGUGAGUAACGCGUGGGUAAUCUACCCUGUAAGUGGGGGAUAACCCUCCGAAAGGAGGGCUAAUACCGCAUAAUAUCUUCUCCUCCUAAGAAGAGAAGAUUAAAGAUGGCCUCUAUACUAUGCUAUCGCUUCAGGAUGAGCCUGCGUCCUAUUAGUUAGUUGGUGGGGUAAUGGCCUACCAAGACCACAAUGGGUAGCCGGUCUGAGAGGAUGUACGGCCACACUGGGACUGAGAUACGGCCCAGACUCCUACGGGAGGCAGCAGCAAGGAAUUUCGUGCAAUGGGCGAAAGCCUGACACAGCAACGCCGCGUGGGGGAUGAAGGCCUUCGGGUCGUAAACCCCUUUUUCUAGGGAAGAAUAAUGACGGUACCUGGAGAAUAAGCCUCGGCUAACUACGUGCCAGCAGCCGCGGUAAUACGUAGGAGGCGAGCGUUAUCCGGAUUUACUGGGCGUAAAGGGGGAGUAGGCGGCUCUUCAAGUCGGAUGUAAAAUCUCCCGGCUUAACUGGGAGGGAUUAUUCGAUACUGUUGGGCUAGAGAGCAGCAGGGGGAGGUGGAAUUCCCGGUGUAGUGGUGAAAUGCGUAGAUAUCGGGAGGAACACCAGUGGCGAAGGCGGCCUCCUGGGCUGUUACUGACGCUGAGGCCCGAAAGCGUGGGGAGCAAACAGGAUUAGAUACCCUGGUAGUCCACGCCGUAAACUAUGGACACUAGGUAUAGGGGGUAUCAACCCUCUCUGUGCCGAAGCUAACGCUUUAAGUGUCCCACCUGGGAACUACGGCCGCAAGGCUAAAACUCAAAGGAAUUGA
rnacentral:rRNA from 1 species